GUGAGGAGCUGCAGCCGCCAUCAGGCCUCCCCUCAGCUCCUCUGCUCUGCGCUGAGCAAACACAGGGGCCUCAGCCACUUCUCACGUCUUGCCCUCCACACCCUUCACCAUUUUUUGUAGCCCUCCUCUGGAAGCUGUCAAACAGUUUAAUGCCCUUUUUGUACUGUGGUGCCCAACGAUGAAGACAUCUCAAAGUGAGGUUGCCCAGCACAGAGCAGACUGGGACAACUCCUUGCCUCACCCGACCGGCAGUGCUGGGCCUGGUGCACCCCAGGGUACAGUUGGCAAUAUACAAGCUUCAUUCAAGUAAUACUAAUAAAAAAGCAUAGUACCUCAUCAAACAGUGACAGGGAACAAAUGCAGGCAGUGGGUGCUGUGGGCUCUCAGACCACCUUUGUGAAUUCAGCCAUCCCACCCACCUGCUGGGAGUUACUGGCCCCCCCAGCACUGCGUGUGCAGUUCAACCACUCCAGUGUGUCACUUGGCAGGAGAACUUGCCCUUCACUGGAAAGUGGGUUUGCUCAAGUACCUGGACUCUAGGCAGCAGUGACUGAGACGUGUGUCCAAGCAUGAAGGCAGAAAGAAAGGCUUAGAAGAGCUAUAAAGCCUUACACUGCCACAAACAUCUGCUUAGUCAAUCUCAGAAUAUGGUCACAAUAGUUAUCGCUGAAUCCAAACUGGUGUCCAAGAUGCUGAAAUGUAAUCAUCAUUACCUUGGACUACAAAGAUGUUUCCUGUGUCUGUCUCAAUUUCUCCAAAGAAAAUCCAUUCUGUGACAGUGACCAUAAACAACAGCUGCUCACUUGCAGAAUAGUGGGAUGCUGAUACCAUGACAAGAAAGCUUUCUGGGCUCAUUUAUUUGUGUUUCUGUUUACUGCACUUGGUGCAAAGCAGUUCCUGAGCACAGAGCCCUUCAACACUGCAAUAAUCUUGUAAAUUCUGGCCUUUUUUGAUGGCCUGACUCAAACCCAAAUAAAACCAAAGGGAAUUUCCACAGAUCUUUCUGGAGUAUCUGAAUAAGGACAAGUGAAACUUCCUUGUUUAAAACGUGGCUAUCUCUGUGAAACGGAACCUUGUGGAGAUAAUCUGCCUGUGAGGAGGGAGCAGCUGUGUCCAGAAACGCACACAAAAAGAAAGGUUUUAUCGCUUGGCAUGAGCUGGAGAAUACCUUGGACUGAUCCUGAAAAAAUUCUAUGGCAGACUUCUCUAACUUGGCUCACACAAACGUUAAAUAGCGUACCUCUUAGAAAAUAAACCUGCAUU
ensembl:lncRNA